rnacentral:rRNA from 1 species
GUGAGGAAUUUUGCGCAAUGGGCGAAAGCCUGACGCAGCGACGCCGCGUGGGCGAUGAAGCUUCUUGGAGUGUAAAGCCCUGUCAGGUGGGACGAAUUCGGGGUGCAAUAAUAAGGCAUCCCGCUGACGGUACCACCGGAGGAAGCCCCGGCUAACUCCGUGCCAGCAGCCGCGGUAAUACGGAGGGGGCAAGCGUUGUUCGGAAUCACUGGGUGUAAAGGGUGCGUAGGCGGUCUGUUAAGUCUGAUGUGAAAUCCCUCGGCUCAACUGAGGAACUGCAUUGGAAACUGGCGGGCUGGAGUACUGAAGAGGAGAGCGGAAUUCCUGGUGUAGCGGUGAAAUGCGUAGAUACCAGGAGGAACACCGGUGGCGAAGGCGGCUCUCUGGUCAGAUACUGACGCUGAGGCACGAAAGCGUGGGGAGCAAACGGGAUUAGAUACCCGAGUAGUCC